GGGCUGGGUUAUUUACUGUUGUAAAAAUUCCUUUCCCCAGUGUUGCUAUCCCUGGAGGCUCUACUGCUGUGUGCAAGGAGGAUGGAUAGGGGAGGGACAGCCCAUUCUCAGCCCUCAACAAAACGAGGGAAGUCGAAGUCAACACAGAAGAAACAUGCAGUGGCCAUGUGCUCUUGGCCCGUGCUGUGGGCAAAAGGCAAAUCUAUCUGUGAAGGCAAGGGAGCAGCUUCUCUUGGACUCAGGCUGGAGGGGCAGGCGGCAUGCAGGGUCAGCCAGUGAAUGAGUGAAGGAAAGGGCAUGAGAACCAGGGUACAUCCUGGCCCUGGCAUGCAGCAGGGCAGCCAAACACAGCACCACCGUACCACCCAGCCAGCACUUCUCAUUCAAAUGUGGGGUAUAAACAAUAGCUUUCUGAGCUCCACAGACGGAACUGUAACUGGAAAACAUAACAUCCUUCUGAUUUGUUGGCCUUGGGAAACCAAACAGUGUGUAAAAAAAAAAAAAAAAAAAAAAAAAAAGGCAUAAUUAUAAUUAGCAAGUGGCUUUCACUGCUUUGGUGACAUCAAUUUUUAAGGUAGGUCUGAAGCUACAAAUUACAGUCUUGCAGAAUGUGUUCUGUCAAGAAACACACAAGACUAUCUGCUUUGAAAAGUUUCAGUCUACAGAGUACAGGCACCUGGCUGGCUCAGUUGGUGAAGUGUCUGCCUUCGGCUCAGAUCAUAAUCCCAGAGUGCUGGGAAUCAAGCCCCAAGUAAA